CAUUUAAUUAGCAACGAUGUAAAUCAUCGUAAAAAGAAAAUCCGUUGGCUUUUUAGACCGUGAGGGUUCAAGUCCCUCUACCCCCA
rnacentral:tRNA from 1 species